GAUGAACGCUGGCGGCGUGCCUAAUACAUGCAAGUCGAGCGAACUGAUUAGAAGCUUGCUUCUAUGAUGUUAGCGGCGGACGGGUGAGUAACACGUGGGCAACCUGCCUGUAAGACUAGGAUAACUUCGGGAAACCGAAGCUAAUACCGGAUAGGAUCUUCUCCUUCAUGGGAGAUGAUUGAAAGAUGGUUUCGGCUAUCACUUACAGAUGGGCCCGCGGUGCAUUAGCUAGUUGGUGAGGUAACGGCUCACCAAGGCAACGAUGCAUAGCCGACCUGAGAGGGUGAUCGGCCACACUGGGACUGAGACACGGCCCAGACUCCUACGGGAGGCAGCAGUAGGGAAUCUUCCGCAAUGGACGAAAGUCUGACGGAGCAACGCCGCGUGAGUGAUGAAGGCUUUCGGGUCGUAAAACUCUGUUGUUAGGGAAGAACAAGUACGAGAGUAACUGCUCGUACCUUGACGGUACCUAACCAGAAAGCCACGGCUAACUACGUGCCAGCAGCCGCCGUAACAC
rnacentral:rRNA from 1 species